UUGAGUUCAUAUAUGAUGGCAACGUUCCUGCCACCACUUUGAAUCGGACUGUUUUAUCAACCUGGGCCAAUAUAACAACGGAUUCUCUAAAAGGUUGUUAUUGAAAGAGGGGUCGGUGCCAUCUUUCCAUCGCAAUACUGAAGACGAGGGAAAUGCAAGCACAUCUGUUCACGGUGCUAGGCUACAUCACGUAGCAUGCCAGACGGACCCACCAAAGAUGCGCACACAUGGAACGCAGCUUUCUAUGAAAACACUGCGACCUCACUACAAAAGUACAGGCACACAGAAAACUGUGCUGCACUGAUGUCGGUGUUGGGACCUCAGCUGUAAGAGACCUCGCUUGGAGGAGGGACAGGACAACCCAAGUUGUUGCAGUAUGGACUUCGGAGAGCCACAGGAUGCUACCUAUGAUCCUGAUGACUCGAUCACAGUCUUGACUGAGUCAGCAGAUGUGACGUGAGUGACUCAAUAUUUAAUCUAAACAUUUCAAUAAUCAGAUAGAUUACCAUCCUACACUUUUUUAGCUGUUGCAGCCUUUUGGUGAAAUCUUUGUCGUUCUAAUAGAAUGGAAUCUUCCAACCCUGUUCAUAAGACACCCACAUAUAUUGUCUAUGAAAACUGCCUCCUGGAGCUGUUUGAGGUGUGUCCUGUGUGUCGGCGGGGGACAGAUGUAAUAUAUAAGAAGGGCGAGUGCACAGCAAAGCCGGUGAAAGCAGAUGCAACCUUCCGUGAUUCUCACAGGCUCUAUUUAAAAGCCAAACAGUGUACAAACAGUAUGUGAAACAUAAAUAACAU